AUUCUAAUCUGAAUCCACCGUCGCCCACCCCCACCGUCGCCCACCCCCACCGCCGACGACCCUCACCAUCGAGCCCACGCCCAAGACCCGUGGUGGACGCAGCAGGAUUCACCCGCGAACUCCACUGGCGACCUCCACUGGCGACCUCCUACUCUCCCCCAACCUCACUGUUGGCUGCCCCUUACCUCUCCGCCCAGAUCGACUCGAUCCGCUCAUCUCGUGACCAGAUCCAGCAAUAAUCCCUCCUUCCCACCUCCCUGCCUCUGGAUAGAGCAGGCGCCGCCGCCUCCACCCCCACUCCCUCCCUCUGGAUCGAGCAGGCACUCUCUACCGGCGGGGCUUGGGGAGGCUGGUGUUCCCCGUUGAGAUCCGUCACGCGCGUCCUCCAGCGCCAACCGUGACUGACUCCUAUCGCUACGGUUUUGAUCGGCGUGGUUCCGACGACUCAGAUCCAAGAUGCCGUCCUUGCUCGAGCACCGGGACGCCAUGGACGAUGGCCGCUUCCUCCCCUGCCUCAGCGCCAUGGAGCAGCUCCGCCCGUCCGCGUUCUUCUUCUCGGGAUUCCUACCCCCGGCCAUGGGCCAUGGAGAACGAGUAGCUCCAACCGAAGGGCUCAAAGGACGUCACCAUGGGAGAUGAAGGCGUGAUGUGUUGUGCUGCUGCUUGGGAGGGUCGCCAUGGACCUCCCUCCUCUACUUCUUCUCUUCCCCUAACUCCAUCAAGGUGAUGGAUUGGUACAUCGACCUACUCCCCUGCUUCCUAUGUUAAUUUGGUGUGCGAUGUGGAUGUGAUGUAUUUUAGGCAUGAUUAUAUACGUGUUUUGGCACAAUUCCUUGUACAAUUCCUUCUCAAGGUGCUGGUGUUUGUGGAGGUGAUUUACCUCUUUUUUCACUCUGUGUAUCAAGGUGCAGCUGCUGAGCAUUGAUAGGUGUUGUUCAGUGUACGUGUGUAUCCUCUAGUAGUUUGUCUCAUAUAUGAUGUUGUAUGCCUGCCAUGUUCCUGUCGUGUUUGACAAUUGGACGGUCAAAACAGAGAUUUGUAAUUUAGAAACUGCAUGUAUGUUGACACUAUUGAGAUGAUGACCGCUUCACCUUGCA